rnacentral:tRNA from 1 species
GUAUUGUACUUUAAUUUAAAAGGUCUGAUUUGCAUUUAGAUAAUGAAGCAGCAUGUUUCCGGUGCCAC